rnacentral:rRNA from 1 species
GAUGAACGCUGGCGGCGUGCUUAAAACAUGCAAGUCGAACGAAGAGGCGAACGGGUGAGUAAUACGUGGGUAACCUGCCCUCCUGAUUGGGAUAAGCUUUGGAAACAGGGUCUAAUACCGAAUAAAGGGGGAUGGGCUCGCGGCCUAUCAGCUUGUUGGUGGGGUGAUGGCCUACCCAGGCGGUGCCGGGUAGCCGGCCUGAGAGGGUGACCGGCGACAGUGAGACUGGGCUACGGCCCAGACUACUACGCGAGGCUGAAGGGUGGGAUAUUGCAGAAUGCGCGAAAGCGUGAUGCAGCGAGGCCGAGUGGGGGAUGAAGGUUUUAGGGUUGUGAACCUAUUUCGCAAUAGAACGGGUAGGUGGAGAAGAAGCGCCGGCUAACUACGUGCCAGCAGCCGCGGUAAUAC